GACGAACGCUGGCGGCGUGCCUAAUACAUGCCAGUAGAACGCUGAAGGAGGAGCUUGCUCUUCUGGAUGAGUUGCGAACGGGUGAGUAACGCGUAGGUAACCUGCCUGGUAGCGGGGGAUAACUAUUGGAAACGAUAGCUAAUACCGCAUAACAGUAGAUGUUGCAUGACAUUUGCUUAAAAGGUGCAAUUGCACCACUACCAGAUGGACCUGCGUUGUAUUAGCUAGUUGGUGGGGUAACGGCUCACCAAGGCGACGAUACAUAGCCGACCUGAGAGGGUGAUCGGCCACACUGGGACUGAGACACGGCCCAGACUCCUACGGGAGGCAGCAGUAGGGAAUCUUCGGCAAUGGACGGAAGUCUGACCGAGCAACGCCGCGGGAGUGAAGAAGGGUUUCGGAUCGUAAAGCUCUGUUGUAAGAGAAGAACGAGUGUGAGAGUGGAAAGUUCACACUGUGACGGUAUCUUACCAGAAAGGGACGGCUAACUACGUG
rnacentral:rRNA from 1 species